GAUGAACGCUGACAGAAUGCUUAACACAUGCAAGUCGAUGGGGAAGUGGUGCUUGCACCUUGGCAACCAUGGCGGACGGGUGAGUAACGCGUAAGGGACUUACCUGCAGGACUGGGAUAACAGGGGGAAACUCCUGACAAGACCGGAUAAUGUCAUGGAGCUGCAUGGCUUUAUGAUGAAAGGAGACGCCUGCGGAGAGCCUUGCGUCCUAUUAGCUAGUUGGUGAGGUAAUGGCUCACCAAGGCGAAGAUAGGUAGCCGGCCUGAGAGGGUGGACGGCCACAAGGGGACUGAGAUACGGCCCUUACUCCUACGGGAGGCAGCAGUGGGGAAUAUUGGACAAUGGGGGCAACCCUGAUCCAGCAAUUCUGUGUGCACGAAGAAGGUUUUCGGAGUGUAAAGUGCUUUCAGCAGGGAAGAAGUAAGUGACGGUACCUGCAGAAGAAGCGACGGCUAAAUACGUG
rnacentral:rRNA from 1 species